rnacentral:rRNA from 1 species
UACGGGGGAGGCAAGCGUUGUUCGGAAUUACUGGGCGUAAAGGGCUCGUAGGUGGCCAACUAAGUCAGACGUGAAAUCCCCAGGCUUAACCUGGGAACUGCGUCUGAUACUGGAUGGCUUGAAUUCGGGAGAGGGAUGCAGAAUUCCAGGUGUAGCGGUGAAAUGCGUAGAUAUCUGGAGGAACACCGGUGGCGAAGGCGGCAUCCUGGACCAAUAUUGACGCUGAGGAGCGAAAGCCAGGGGAGCAAACGGG